rnacentral:rRNA from 1 species
UACAGAGGUCCCAAGCGUUACUGAGAAUCACUGGGUUUAAAGGGUGCGUAGGUGGUCCGUUAAGUCAGUUGUGAAAUCUCCAGUGCUCAACACGGAAACUGCUUUACAUACUGGCGAGCUUGAGGAAAGCAGAGGUAACUGGAAUUCCUGGUGUAGCGGUGAAAUGCGUUGAUAUCAGGAGGAACACCCAUGGCGAAGGCAGCUCGCUGGGACGGUACUGACGCUGAGGCGCGAAAGCGAGGGGAGCAAACUGGGA